rnacentral:tRNA from 1 species
GGAGAGGUGGCCGAGUGGCUGAAGGCAACGGUUUGCUAAACCGUCAUAGUGGGAAACUGCUAUCGAGAGUUCGAAUCUCUCCCUCUCCG